CUCGUAGGCGGUUUGUCACGUCGGGAGUGAAAACUCAGGGCUCAACCCUGAGCCUGCUUCCGAUACGGGCAGACUAGAGGUAUGCAGGGGAGAACGGAAUUCCUGGUGUAGCGGUGAAAUGCGCAGAUAUCAGGAGGAACACCGGUGGCGAAGGCGGUUCUCUGGGCAUUACCUGACGCUGAGGAGCGAAAGUGUGGGGAGCGAACA
rnacentral:rRNA from 1 species